UCCUGGCCUUUCUCAAAAGCAAUUAAGGUGCCCAGUCUCAGUGUCAGUCUGGAUGUCAACAAGUAGCCAAAAACUCAGCUAGCUAUCUUAAAGCUUGUCUUACAUGGCCUGGAAUGUACACCCGGGUUGCCUCUAUUUCCCAUUGGAUCAUGUAUUUGAAAACUUAGACCCUGGUUUUGGGAGCUUGCGGAACUAUUAAGAGGUGCAGCCUCCUGGAGGAGGUAUAUCACUUGGGGGAACCUUUUAGGGUUUACGCUCUUGCUCCACUUCCUGUUUGAUCGCUCUGCUUCCGGUGUGCAGUUGAGACGCCCAGCUUUCUGCUGCUGCCACCUGCAACCAUGUCUCCCCUGCCUUUAUGAACUCUAUCUGGAACAAAAAGCCAAAAUAACACUUUAUUCUACAAAUUGCCUCAGUUGUGGUGUUUUUAUCACAGCAACCAAAUAAUUGAUAUAAGCUUUGCUAGCAAUCAGGCAUCUCCAUCGCCUGCCCCAGGGACCUUGUGAUAGCAGGAUACAUCAUCACCAGCUGCCAAGAUAGGAUACAUUCCCAUGGUUACGGUUACGUAUCCUCUCUCCACGUGUGCUACAUCCCCUUAUAAAAAGCCACUUCCUCUUGGCUCUUUUUUCUCUCCACCCUCUCCCAGAGGCGACCUCUGUAUACUCCCCAAUAAAUCUCCCACAUGAUCCCACCAAGAUUCCCCCUGGUGUCUGUGGCUUAGAUCAUAACAAGGUUACAAGCAAAAUGGCUUCCGUUACACACGACACCGAAUUCCUACAGUUCCUUCUGGCUACGGCACUCUCCAGUGGAGUUCUGGGCUUUUCUUUAGAAACUCAAAAGUCAUCUUACUGUAUCUCCAGACAAUCUGGAGCAGCCAGGCCUCUCAGUCCUCUCAGUUAUAAGCAAGUAGAGGCAAAGUGCUUGCUGGGCACUGAGUUGGACUCCUAACCGCAGAUCCUAGAGAGGCUGUGACUGGAGGCCCCAGACCAGUAACACCAGUUUAAGAUGCCUGCGGAAAGAAUGCUGUCCAUAGCUGAGGACCGAACUCAGGGCCUUGCGCUUGCUAGGCAAGCGCUCUACCACUGAGCUAAAUCCCCAACCAUUAUGAAAGCAUUCUUAUGGAAGAUCCAGACCUUGGGGAAAGACAUGGCUGAGACCAAACAAAGCAGCAUUCAAUGAGGCACCAUGUCAAAAAGAUUCUACCACAUGGAACAGACAUACAGCUGUCCUAAGGAGAGCCCAGAAUUUUUGUGUAGCCCAGGUUUUGGGGAGGCAUCUCGUUGAAGGACAGGGCAGCAGAGUGUAUCUUGAAGCUGUAUGUAAACAGUGCACUUUCUGCUUAGCUCUGUCUAUUUAUCUGCUGUGGCUAAGAAGGGGACUUUUGGUGAUCUGGAGAAGAGCGGUCCUACCCGACACUUUGGAGACACUCUGCUUCUGCUUAAGAGUUUUGGGAAAGGGACAGGUUUAUGGUAGCUGAGCUCUCAAGGAAGCUAGACUUCUGGGCCCCAGGUUUUGUAAAUGACCUAGAGAAGGAGGAUGCUUUGAGUUGAGAGUGAAAAGAGACUCUAUUCAAUGUGGCCAUCUGUCCUCACCACGGGAGGGCAGAACUUUUUGUAUCAAUCAAAUAGACUCAUUUUUACAAACAAGAAAAGGAUGAUCUACGUGCUGAGCGAUUUUAAAGGACAACUCGAUUGCUUAUAAAAUGCCAGUAUCCGGCUGGAGAGAUGGCUCAGCAGUUAAGAGCACUGACUGCUCUUCCUGAGGUCCUGAGUUCAAAUCCCAGCAACCACAUGAUGGCUCACAACCAUCUGUAAUGGGAUCUGAUGCCCUCUUCUGGUGUGUCUGAAGACAGUGACAGUGUACACAUAUAAAUAAAAUAAAUAAGUCUUUAAAAAAAUAAAUAAAUAAAAUGCCA